CCUACGGGGGGCUGCAGUGAGGAAUAUUGGUCAAUGGGCGGAAGCCUGAACCAGCCAAGUAGCGUGCGGGAUGAAGGCCCUACGGGUCGUAAACCGCUUUUGCACGGGGAUAACACCCUCCACUUGUGGAGGUCUGCAGGUACCGUGCGAAUAAGGGCCGGCUAAUUCCGUGCCAGCAGCCGCGGUAAUACGGAGGGGCCGAGCGUUAUCCGGAUUCAUUGGGCUUAAAGGGAGCGUAGGCGGGUUGUUAAGUCAGCGGUCAAAGCCCGGGGCGCAACCCCGGGCCCGCAGUUGAAACUGGCAGUCUCGAGUUGGAGAGAAGUAUGCGGAAUGCGCGGUGUAGCGGUGAAAUGCAUAGAUAUCGCGAAGAACUCCGAUUGCGAAGGCAGCAUGCCGGCUCCACACUGACGCUGAGGCACGAAAGCGUGGGUAUCGAACAGGAUUAGAUACCCUAGUAGUC
rnacentral:rRNA from 1 species